AUGGGGACAACAGUUGGAAACGACUGCUAAUACCCAAUGUGCCGAAAGGUGAAAGAUUUAUCGUCUGAAGAUGGGCUCGCGUCUGAUUAGCUAGAUGGUGGGGUAAGAGCCUACCAUGGCAACGAUCAGUAGCUGGUCUGAGAGGAUGAGCAGCCACACUGGGACUGAGACACGGCCCAGACUCCUACGGGAGGCAGCAGUGGGGAAUUUUCCGCAAUGGGCGAAAGCCUGACGGAGCAAUACCGCGUGAGGGAGGAAGGUCCUUGGAUUGUAAACCUCUUUUAUCAGGGAAGAAGUUCUGACGGUACCUGAUGAAUAAGCAUCGGCUAACUCCGUGCCAGCAGCCGCGGUAAUACGGAGGAUGCAAGCGUUAUCCGGAAUUAUUGGGCGUAAAGCGUCCGUAGGUGGUUAUGCAAGUCUGCCGUUAAAGAAUGGAGCUUAACUCCAUAGGAGCGGUGGAAACUGCAAGACUAGAGUACAGUAGGGGUAGCAGGAAUUCCCAGUGUAGCGGUGAAAUGCGUAGAUAUUGGGAAGAACAUCGGUGGCGAAAGCGUGCUAC
rnacentral:rRNA from 1 species